CUUCUGCCGCCCACACGUGAUUUAAAGACAAGGAUGGACUGGAGCCGGAGGAACUUUUUGAACCUGGUACAGUAGAUCCGGACAACGAACCGAACUUCUUCCCACCUGACGAAGAGAACAGUGCUAUAAUGAAUAACUGCCAAUGAAGGAAAAGGUAACAACAUUCUUCCAAACAAUUCUUUCAAUAUUCUCCCAAACCUACUAACAUCCUUGCUAAAAUUCCUAGGAGUCUGAUAUUGCAGGUAAGUCAUUUUCACGCCCUUGUUUCUUUGUCUUGAACAGGUCCUACUUUACAAUGAAUUCACUAACACAAAUAAAUUAAAACCUGUUCUCAAAUGAGGUAUUUGAUAUGGAACAGUCUGCUGCAGUUUGGAGAUGUCAGAUGUAAAGAAAAAAAUCACAUGAAAGUAUAUAGAAAGUGCUCACACAGAAAAGGUGACUUCUAC
rnacentral:lncRNA from 1 species